UACGGGGGGGAGCAAGCGUUGUUCGGAUUUACUGGGCGUAAAGGGCGCGUAGGCGGUCAGCACAAGUCAAUUGUGAAAAUCUCCGAGCUUAACUCGGAAAGGUCAACUGAAACUGUGCGACUAGAGUGCGGAAGGGGCAACUGGAAUUCUUGGUGUAGCGGUGAAAUGCGUAGAUAUCAAGAGGAACACCUGCGGCGAAGGCGGGUUGCUGGGCCGACACUGACGCUGAAGCGCGAAAGCCAGGGGAGCGAACGGG
rnacentral:rRNA from 1 species